CUACGGGCGGCAGCAGUGGGGAAUAUUGCACAAUGGGCGCAAGCCUGAUGCAGCCAUGCCGCGUGUAUGAAGAAGGCCUUCGGGUUGUAAAGUACUUUCAGCGGGGAGGAAGGGAGUAAAGUUAAUACCUUUGCUCAUUGACGUUACCCGCAGAAGAAGCACCGGCUAACUCCGUGCCAGCAGCCGCGGUAAUACGGAGGGUGCAAGCGUUAAUCGGAAUUACUGGGCGUAAAGCGCACGCAGGCGGUUUGUUAAGUCAGAUGUGAAAUCCCCGGGCUCAACCUGGGAACUGCAUCUGAUACUGGCAGGCUGGAGUCUCGUAGAGGGGGGUAGAAUUCCAGGUGUAGCGGUGAAAUGCGUAGAGAUCUGGAGGAAUACCGGUGGCGAAGGCGGCCCCCUGGACGAAGACUGACGCUCAGGUGCGAAAGCGUGGGGAGCAAACAGGAUUAGAUACCCGGGUAGUC
rnacentral:rRNA from 1 species